rnacentral:rRNA from 1 species
AGCUAGUUGGUGAGGUAACGGCCCACCAAGGCGACGAUCGGUAGCCGGACUGAGAGGUUGAACGGCCACAUUGGGACUGAGACACGGCCCAGACUCCUACGGGAGGCAGCAGUGGGGAAUAUUGCACAAUGGGGGAAACCCUGAUGCAGCGACGCCGCGUGGAGGAAGAAGGUCUUCGGAUUGUAAACUCCUGUUGUUGGGGAAGAUAAUGACGGUACCCAACAAGGAAGUGACGGCUAACUACGUGCCAGCAGCCGCGGUAAAACGUAGGUCACAAGCGUUGUCCGGAAUUACUGGGUGUAAAGGGAGCGCAGGCGGGAAGACAAGUUGGAAGUGAAAUCUAUGGGCUCAACCCAUAAACUGCUUUCAAAACUGUUUUUCUUGAGUAGUGCAGAGGUAGGCGGAAUUCCCGGUGUAGCGGUGGAAUGCGUAGAUAUCGGGAGGAACACCAGUGGCGAAGGCGGCCUUGGGCACCAACUGACGCUGAGGCUCGAAAGUGUGGGUAGCAAACAGGAUUAGAUACCCUGGUAGUCCACACCGUAAACGAUGAUUACUAGGUGUUGGAGGAUUGACCCCUUCAGUGCCGCAGUUAACACAAUAAGUAAUCCACCUGGGGAGUACGACCGCAAGGUUGAAACUCAAAGGAAUUGACGGGGGCCCGCACAAGCAGUGGAGUAUGUGGCUUAAUUCGACGCAACGCGAAGAACCUUACCAAGUCUUGACAUCCCUUGACGAUGCUGGAAACAGUAUUUCUCUUCGGAGCAAGGAGACAGGUGGUGCAUGGUUGUCGUCAGCUCGUGUCGUGAGAUGUUGGGUUAAGUCCCGCAACGAGCGCAACCCUUAUGGUCAGUUACUACACAAGAGGACUCUGGCCAGACUGCCGUUGACAAAACGGAGGAAGGUGGGGAUGACGUCAGAUCAUCAUGCCCUUUAUGACUUGGGCUACACACGUACUACAAUGGCGUUAAACAAAGAGAAGCAAGACCGCGAGGUGGAGCAAAACUCAGAAACAACGUCCCAGUUCGGACUGCAGGCUGCAACUCGCCUGCACGAAGUCGGAAUUGCUAGUAAUCGUGGAUCAGCAUGCCACGGUGAAUACGUUCCCGGGCCUUGUACACACCGCCCGUCACACCAUGAGAGCCGGGGGGACCCGAAGUCGGUAGUCUAACCGUAAGGAGGACGCCGCCGAAGGUAAAACUGGUGAUUGGGGUGAAGUCGUAACAAGGUAGCCGUAGGAGAACCUGCGGCUG